rnacentral:rRNA from 1 species
AGUGAACGCUGGCGGUAGGCCUAACACAUGCAAGUCGAACGGCAGCACAGUAAGAGCUUGCUCUUACGGGUGGCGAGUGGCGGACGGGUGAGGAAUACAUCGGAAUCUACUUUUUCGUGGGGGAUAACGUAGGAAACUUACGCUAAUACCGCAUACGACCUACGGGUGAAAGCAGGGGAUCUUCGGACCUUGCGCGAUUGAAUGAGCCGAUGUCGGAUUAGCUAGUUGGCGGGGUAAAGGCCCACCAAGGCGACGAUCCGUAGCUGGUCUGAGAGGAUGAUCAGCCACACUGGAACUGAGACACGGUCCAGACUCCUACGGGAGGCAGCAGUGGGGAAUAUUGGACAAUGGGCGCAAGCCUGAUCCAGCCAUACCGCGUGGGUGAAGAAGGCCUUCGGGUUGUAAAGCCCUUUUGUUGGGAAAGAAAAGCAGCAGGUUAAUACCCCGCUGUUCUGACGGUACCCAAAGAAUAAGCACCGGCUAACUUCGUG